UUUGGUGAUGAUGGCGGAGGGGACCCACACGUUCCCAUCUCGAACACGACCGUUAAGCCCUCCAGCGUCGAUGGUACUUGAACCGCAGGGUUCUGGGAGAGUAGAACGUUGCCAAGC
rnacentral:rRNA from 1 species